rnacentral:rRNA from 1 species
CGUACGAUACGUAGUUUGACUCCGUGGCUACAAGAACGAACGCUGGCGGCAUGCCUAACACAUGCAAGUCGAACGAAGGCUUCGGCCUUAGUGGCGCACGGGUGCGUAACGCGUGGGAACCUGCCCCUCGGUUCGGAAUAACAGUUAGAAAUGACUGCUAAUACCGGAUGAUGACUUCGGUCCAAAGAUUUAUCGCCGAGGGAUGGGCCCGCGUAGGAUUAGCUAGUUGGUGGGGUAAAGGCCUACCAAGGCGACGAUCCUUAGCUGGUCUGAGAGGAUGAUCAGCCACACUGGGACUGAGACACGGCCCAGACUCCUACGGGAGGCAGCAGUGGGGAAUAUUGGACAAUGGGCGAAAGCCUGAUCCAGCAAUGCCGCGUGAGUGAUGAAGGCCUUAGGGUUGUAAAGCUCUUUUACCAGGGAUGAUAAUGACAGUACCUGGAGAAUAAGCUCCGGCUAACUCCGUG